rnacentral:tRNA from 1 species
GGCCCGGUAGCUUAACUGGUAGAGCUCCUGACAUAUAUGUUAUCAGGGAGAUCCAGGUUCGAUUCCUGGCUUGGCAACCA